rnacentral:lncRNA from 1 species
AAGUGAAAGACCGGGAGGCCUUCCAGAGACUCAACUUCCUUUACCAGGCUGCACACUGCGUCCUCUCUCAGAACCCCGAGAACCAGGCACUGGCUAGGUUUUACUGCCACACAGAGAAGACCAUCGCGAAGCGGCUGGUCCUACGGCAGUAAGGGACCCCUCUGUGAAGAGGACGCUCUGUCGCGACUGCUCCUCUCUCCUCAUCCCUGGCCUCACCUGCACGCAGCGCCAGAGACGCCGAAAGGGACAACGCUGGACAGUACAGACCUGUCUGACAUGCCAGCGAAGCCAGCGGUUCCUCAAUGACCCCAAGCAUCUCCUCUGGGGUGACCGGCCUGAAGCCCAGUUGGAAAAUCAGGCGGAUUUCAAACCGUCAGAGCCCCUGCCAAACAUAGCUGACCUUUCUAAGGAGAACGUGCAGACUCAGGCUUUAAACACCACUGAAUGAACUCAUCCAUUUUCCAGAUAAAUAAAGUUGAGUUGUUUGA